rnacentral:misc_RNA from 1 species
CCGAACAAAGUGCACCUUUUUGUAGUUGCACGUGGCCUGCACGUCUAAUCGAAGUGACCGGUCACGAUAACUACGCCUUCUUAACCAUCAAAACCGGUCAUUGCAUGGCAAAAAAAUGGGGCUUGCCCCUUGAACGUGGAAACACGAAUA